rnacentral:lncRNA from 1 species
UGUCAAGCUGGAACCGGCAGGGGACCCAUUUACAACAACAAUCUCUUCUGAAAACAAGAAUCAGCAUGACAUACUGCACCCAGGUUACUUUAUCUCAUCUCGUAAUCACACACUACUUUGAAACAAGGAAUUACCGCAGAAGACACCAACAAAAAUGUGCUGUUUUGUUUCGACAAAAUUCAGGUCGCAAAAAAUUGUGCUGCUGAGUGUGUCAGUGUGUGAAGGGAGGUGCGAGAAGCGGAAAAGUGCCGCUCCGGACCCCAGUUAAAACUAAAACAAACAGGACACAUAUAGGUUAUCAGCCCAAAGGGCAUUCUUGCAAUUAACACAAAAAGGAGAAGUAUAUGUGAUAUUAUCAAAAUUUGACGGGUAUUCAUGAUAUUUCGAGAAUGUCCAGGGGUAUGUGCGAUAUUUGCCCUUUUUACAAUUUCUAUAAAUAUUCUUUAUUCUUAUUCUUCAAGCAAACACUUAUUUGAAUUUAAUGAUUUAAAAAUGUAAAAAAAUAAAUUUUAGUUUUACUCAGUUCUUAAAGAAUAUUAAACGGAAAACAAAUUCUUGCUAUGUCCUCUUAGUUAGAUUUAAAAGAUCACAUUAUGAAAUUGAGACUUUAUUUGUGUCAGUUGUUUGAAAUCUAGAUUUGACUCUUUAAUAUUCUAUGCAUUUUCUAGAUUUAGUAUAUUUUUUGUUUUCUAAAAGAUAUUGUCUACUAACUAUAAGUAUAAAAAUUUAAUUUUAAAAAAAUUGGAAAAACUUACAUGUUUUAUUAAUAUAAUUUACAAAUCAUUUUUUAUAAUCAAAUUAGUUUCCAACCUAGUUUACAAAGUGUUGAGCAAACCUUUUUUCAUCACAUAUAUUCUAUAUACUUCUUUAAUUUAACAUCAUAUUUGUGUAUAUACAUAUAUAUGUGAUAGAAAAAAAAUCUUUAUGAAUAUAAAGUGUGGUAUUUUAUUUCUCUUUAUAGCA